AGCAGCCGCGGUAAUUCCAGCUCCAAUAGCGUAUAUUAAAGUUGUUGCAGUUAAAAAGCUCGUAGUUGAAUUUCGGGGUUAGUAGGCUGGUCGUGCCACUGGUAUGUACUGGUCUCACUGAUUCCUCCUUCCUGAUGAGCUGUAAUGCCAUUAAUUUGGUGUUGCAGGGAAUCUGGACUGUUACUUUGAAAAAAUUAGAGUGUUUAAAGCAGGCUAACGCUUGAAUACAUUAGCAUGGAAUAAUGAAAUAGGACGUUCGAUCCUAUUUUGUUGGUUUCUAGGAUUGACGUAAUGAUUAAUAGGGAUAGUUGGGGGCAUUAGUAUUCAAUUGUCAGAGGUGAAAUUCUUGGAUUUAUUGAAGACUAACUACUGCGAAAGCAUUUGCCAAGGAUGUUUUCAUUAAUCAAGAACGAAAGUUAGGGGAUCGAAGACGAUCAGAUACCGUCGUAGUCUUAACCAUAAACUAUGCCGACUAGGGAUCGGGAUGAUGUUAAUUUUUUAAUGACUCAUUC
rnacentral:rRNA from 1 species